GGGCGGUAAUAUAUUACCGGUAGGGUGAGCGGCGAGAAAGGGGUAGAGGACAAAGGCGGGGGUUGUUUUGCACAAGGAGGAGCGGAGGAGGAGUAAGAGGAGUAGGCCGGCGCUUCGGUUCCCUUUGGUCUCUACGUCGCUAUCUGCGACAUUUCUCCACCGAUAUAUCUGAAGCCACGACGCUCAGAACGGCUCCUCACUCCCUCCCCAACGAACUAACGAACGAAGCCCCAGCCACACGCCCCACUCCACACCUCUACUACCCCCCUCCCCGCCGCUACUACCUAGCCGCGUACCGCAAGGGGCGCCGCCUGCCGCUGCAGCUCUUCCCGAAGCCGAAGAAACCUCGGCCGACGAAGCACCCCCGGCCGCUGGAGCACCUGGGGCACUGCCGCGGCCGCGGCCUCGUCGCCCUAUCCAAGCGGCUGCUCCUCCUCUCGCUCCUCCUGCUCCUGCUGCUGCACCUGCCGUAGCUCCUCGACCUCGCGGCGUACACCGCGCUGGCGUACUCCGAGUUCGCGGAGUUCCUCGACGUCGUCGCGGUCUCGGUCUCCGGGCUGCCGCCUCGCCGCUCGUUCCCCACCGGCUCCGCCGGCCGCAGCGUCGUCCUGGUCGUCCGCGCCGCGUUCUUCUACAGCGCGCGCGUCCUGCCCUAGGAGUUCAUGUACGAGUUCUACUACCUCCGCACGUCGCGCGUCCCGAAGCAGAUGCCCUAGCAGGGGCUCUUGCCGUUCGGGCACCCGCCGCGGAGGCUGUUGGAGGCGCGGACCACCUUCCUCUUCCAGGCGAAGCUGGCGUUGCGGGGGCGCCGGUAGCGGUUCGUGGCCAGGCUGUUGCGGCCCGGCGAGACGCCGCCCCUUCUGCCUCGCCCCCGCCGCCGGCCGGGCGCGAGGGACGUGCUCGACGUCCUGUGGUGCGAGCCGAGGGACGAGAGGAGCGAGUACGUCGUGACGCUGGGCGGCGUCGCGGCCAAGGGCGAGCUCUUCCCGCACGGCGGCGGCACCACCGGCGUCCCCGGCAGGCUCCGCACCACCGGGCUCCGGCCGCACGGGCUGCUGGAGCCGGGCGGCGGCAUGUUCUUCGGCGUGCUGGAGUUCUUCCGCACCUUCCAGCGGCACGAGUGGCGGCAGUAGUUCGUGUACAGCGGGCUGCAGCUGUUCCAGGCGGCGGAGCACGCCGUCAGGUUUACGGACGUCCUGUUCUACUGGCGGUCCCUCUAGCAGUGUACCGAGCGGCACGAGUUCUGCCUCCUCCUCGAGCCGGUGUUCGACGUAGGGCCGCGUACGGAAGGAGGCUCCGGGAGGCGGCCGCGCGACAGCAAGCUGCGGUCGAGGCCGCUCAUGCUGCAGCUGAAGAAGCCGCUCCUCCGGCGCUUGGUCUACUUCCGCGCGAGACUCCGUCGGCGCAAGCAGCUGGAAUGGUACCUGCGAAGGAGCUCGUUGCUCAAGUACUAGUACGGCGGACGCGACUACUUCCUUCUUUGGUGCCUGCGGCUGAAGUGGGUGCGGGUCUUCGCCUCGCGCGGCGGGCGGCGGCGCCUGCGGCUCGGCCUGGACUACGACUUGCCCUUGCCGGCGCAGAUGUGGACGCUCUUGCACGUCACGGGCGUGCGGUCGGUGCGCGAGCCGAAGGACCUGGCGUUGCGCGCGUCGCGGGUGGUCAUGAGGACGUCCAUGUUGUUGGGGCGGCAGCGGCGGCGGGUCUCGUUCGGCGGCAGCAGGAAGAAGGGACCAGGCGGGAUGUCGGGCGUCUCGGUCCGCGAGCCGCCCAAGCUGAAGCCGGACGGGCACCGGCUGGUCUCUACGGAGCGGCCCGACUACUCGUACAUGCUCUGGCCGCACCGGCGCGUGUCCCCGCGUUGGUCGCUGCGGUGGUGAGGGCCGUACGUCUAGCCGCGGCCGUCGGAAGACCGCGGUGCGAGCGAAAGACCGUGCUUGUUGGAAUACGUCGUCGUCGUCUCGCGCCGCAAGAAGUAGCCGCUGCUGCGCGGCAAGCCGUACCGCCGCGGCCUCGACCCGUCCAAGCCGGGCCCGAAGCUGGACAGUCGCCGCCUGAUGCGGCCGCGGUACGUCGUCGGCGGCGGCGUCUUCGUGCAACCUGGGUUGACCAAGAUGACUUGUUGGUUCCUCCUUGGUGGGUACUAAUCGUACAUCGAGAUCCGGUAAUCUUAAGUAUUCCGAAGGUAAGAGCUAGUCAGGUACCGCAGAACGUUGGACAUUCCUAGCCAGUUUAGGUCCGGUACAACUCUUGUGACCUUAAAAAAGUGUUUAGUGUGGCUUUAGCUUCAAGAAGAAAGAGAAGGAG
rnacentral:rRNA from 1 species